rfam:Trichobilharzia regenti genome assembly, scaffold: TRE_scaffold0038565
AUCCAGAUGACGAGUCCCAAACAGGACAAAAUGCACAUCCUGGUU